UACGUAGGGUGCAAGCGUUGUCCGGAAUUAUUGGGCGUAAAGGGCUCGUAGGCGGUCCAUCGCGUCGGGAGUGAAAAGCUGGGGCUCAACCCCAGUCCUGCUUCCGAUACGGGUGGACUAGAGGUAUACAGGGGAGAACGGAAUUCCUGGUGUAGCGGUGAAAUGCGCAGAUAUCAGGAGGAACACCGGUGGCGAAGGCGGCAUUCUGGACCGACAUUGACGCUGAGGAGCGAAAGCCAGGGGAGCAAACGGG
rnacentral:rRNA from 1 species